rnacentral:rRNA from 1 species
ACCUACGGGGGGCAGCAGUAGGGAAUCUUCCACAAUGGACGAAAGUCUGAUGGAGCAACGCCGCGUGAGUUAAGAAGGGUUUCGGCUCGUAAAGCUCUGUUGGUGGUGAAGAAAGAUAGAGGUAGUAACUGGCCUUUAUUUGACGGUAAUUACUUAGAAAGUCACGGCUAACUACGUGCCAGCAGCCGCGGUAAUACGUAGGUGGCAAGCGUUGUCUGGAUUUAUUGGGCGUAAAGCGAGUGCAGGCGGGUCAAUUAGACUGGUGUGAAA